GACGAACGCUGGCGGCGUGCUUAACACAUGCAAGUCGAACGGUGAUGCUCCAGCUUGCUGGAGUGGAUCAGUGGCGAACGGGUGAGUAACACGUGAGCAACCUGCCCCAGACUCUGGAAUAAGCGCUGGAAACGGCGUCUAAUACUGGAUACGAAACUGGCCCGCAUGGGCAUGGUUUGGAAAGUUUUUCGGUUUGGGAUGGGCUCGCGGCCUAUCAGCUUGUUGGUGAGGUAAUGGCUCACCAAGGCGACGACGGGUAGCCGGCCUGAGAGGGCGACCGGCCACACUGGGACUGAGACACGGCCCAGACUCCUACGGGAGGCAGCAGUGGGGAAUAUUGCACAAUGGGCGAAAGCCUGAUGCAGCGACGCCGCGUGAGGGAUGACGGCCUUCGGGUUGUAAACCUCUUUCAGCAGGGAAGAAGCGAAAGUGACGGUACCUGCAGAAGAAGCACCAGCUAACUACGUG
rnacentral:rRNA from 1 species